GGAAGUAAAAAGUCGUAACAAGGUCUCCGUUGGUGAACCAGCGGAGGGAUCAUUACCGAGUUUACAACUCCCAAACCCCAAUGUGAACGUUACCAAACUGUUGCCUCGGCGGGAUUUCUGCCCCGGGCGCGUCGCAGCCCCGGACCAAGGCGCCCGCCGGAGGACCAAUUUACAAACUCUUUUGUAUAUCCCAUCGCGGAUUCUUUACAUUCUGAGCUUUCUCGGCGCUCCUAGCGAGCGUUUCGAAAAUGAAUCAAAACUUUCAACAACGGAUCUCUUGGUUCUGGCAUCGAUGAAGAACGCAGCGAAAUGCGAUAAGUAAUGUGAAUUGCAGAAUUCAGUGAAUCAUCGAAUCUUUGAACGCACAUUGCGCCCGCCAGUAUUCUGGCGGGCAUGCCUGUCCGAGCGUCAUUUCAACCCUCGAACCCCUCCGGGGGGUCGGCGUUGGGGAUCGGCACUUACCUGCCGGCCCCGAAAUACAGUGGCGGUCUCGCCGCAGCCUCUCCUGCGCAGUAGUUUGCACACUCGCACCGGGAGCGCGGCGCGUCCACGGCCGUAAAACAACCCAAACUUCUGAAAUGUUGACCUCGGAUCA
rnacentral:rRNA from 1 species